AACAAAACUAAAAUUGCCUGUGUUGUUUGCAUUAUAUUUCUAUUAGAGAGGCCUAUUCUAAAGUUACUUUUUCUCCAGCUUAAUUAAAAUAUAAUUGACAAAUGCAAAUUGUAUGCAUUUAUGGUAUACAACAUGAUGUUUUGAUAUACAUCAUACGUUGUGAAAUCAUUAAAUCAAGCUAAUUAACAUAUCCAUCACUUCAUAUGCUUACUUUUUUGAUGUGAGAAUAUUUAAGAUCUCUUAGCAAUUUUCAAGUAUACAGUGCAUCAUUAUCUAUAGUCAUGAUGCUAUACAAUAGGUCUCUAGAAUGUAUUCAUCCAAAGUAAAACUUUAUACCUUUUGACCAACAUCUCCCAAUCCACACCCUACCCCCCACCCCGGGAAUAUUAAAAAGCGCGGUAUAGGAAAGGAAGAUCCUUAGCAUCCCACCUUUCAAGAAGAAACACUGAUGUAUGGCUUCUAUUAGGUUAAUGCAAAAGUAAUCGCGAUUUUGGCCAUUGCUUUCCAUGGCAAAAACCGCAAUUACUUUUGCACCAACAUAAUAGAUUUUUUUUUAUUUGCAAAUACGUUAUUUUUGACAAAGUCAGGAUCCUUGACAAAGUCAGGAUACUCACCAAUCCUGUCUCCUCUUCUUGGGCAUAGUGAAGGGUUAUACUUCCCGGUUUUAAGGAUUAUAACUCCCCUUACAGGUAGUUGUGGUCAUAUAACCAGGUUCUGGCCACAGAAUGUGGUCAGAAUGAUUCAAGCCAUAUCCAGUCCAUUACCUAUCCAGGCAUUCCUGUUUGCUCUUUCUCUUUAUUCAUCACUUGGAUGAACUCAGGGGAUCCAGAGGAAGAAUUUGGGGUUCUAAAAGAGAGUAGGACUACACGACAGAAUGAGCUAGGAUCCCUAAACCACUGAGUGGAAGGCUGCCAAACAACCCACCUCGAACUGUAUCCUGAGCAAAAAAUAAGCAGUUAUUGUGUUA
rnacentral:lncRNA from 10 species